GCCCUCUUAGCUCAGGGGAUAGAGCGUCUGCCUCCGGAGCAGAAAGCCGCAGGUUCGAAUCCUGUAGAGGGCACCA
rnacentral:tRNA from 6 species